GCCACAUGCUCAGUGGCCACCCACGGGUUCUGGAUUGGACAGUGCAGUUCUGUACAGUCUCUCAUGCCCAGGAGACAUGUGGCUUGUCUGCUGGGACUUUUAAUUGUCAUAACUGGAGGAGGUCCACUUACAGUAGAGGCUGCAGAUGUUACCCAGAGCCCUACAAUGCACAGGACAGGUUCUACCACAAAGAAUCAUCAAUCCCGAGACUGAUGGGGACAAGUUUGAGAAACUCUGGCUUAGACCAAGCUCUGCCUGACGCCUUGGUUUGGGGAAAAUUCAUGCACUUGUCAGAACCUGAAGUCUGGUCCAAGAGACAAAGGAAAUGCUGAACUCAGCAAGCCUGAUGCAGCUGACACUCAGCCAGCUCUGGGCGAGGCCUUCAAAGCAUGAAUGUCAGAGGGGAGCAUCUUGCAAUGAGCUCAGGUUUCUUAUUCAGCGAAAGAGGACCUGGGACAGUUUUCUCAAAGUCCUGUUGAACGAUGAUUCUCAUCAGUCAAUGAAAAGUGCUUUGCGGUAAGUAGAAGCCAUGGCUUUAAAAUACACAAACCAGCCGUUUGUCUUGGUCUCCAUAUCCCCAGUAGAUGUGGAACUUGAAGUUUUUACAGAAUUGACAGGGGUAUGAGUGACUGAAUGAAUUGCACAGAACAUUUUAAGUUCUAAACUAGCCUUUGUUCUUGGUUUCAUUGUUUUGAUGUACAACUGGGGAUUAAGCCUGGCAAUGACAAAGACAUCCCUAGCCCUUUUUAAAGUUUUACUUUGACUCAUGGUCUUGUUGAGUCGCUAAGUUGCCCAGGCUGGCCUUGAACUUUUGAUCCUCUGGCCUGUGCCUCCUCAGUAGCUGGGAUGACAGACAUGCACCACCAUGCAUUUUAUUGUUGAAUCGCCCAGUCGUUUCAUAGUUGCCCUUUACUAGUCCUUGCCCUCCUUGGUUGGUGUCCGUACUUCUCUUCUUCGUGAUUCACAUUCUAUAUUUCUGCAUUUAUUCCUGGAACCACUUUGGGAAUAUUGUGCCAUCUUAGUUCUUUGGAAGCCCAAGACUGGGGACUGCUUUGGAAAACCUUCCUUUCCCUGUGUCCCAUGCUCCUGGGGAAUUUUAGACCUCACUUCCUGGACUUGUGAACUCUGGGACCUCUUGGAGCCUGGUCCUGCUCCACAGGGAGAAGGAGCCCGUUUUGCGCGUUUCUGACCAAGAGCCCUUGGCCCACGCUGAGGCCAACCCUACACCCCUGGAUGUCCUUGUUGGAAACCCUUGAUUGAUGUGGUUUGUGAUUCAUUUGGAGACUAUAGCUUGUUUUUUUUAUUUUUGGUACCGGGAUCGAACUUGGGACCUUGCACUUUCGAGGCAGACAGAGGAGCCACUGAGCUAAAUCCCCAGCCCUGUAGCUUGUUUUUGUCCACUUAAUGAGUUUACAGGCUUGUUAACCCAGGGGAUGAGUAAGCAGAGAUAAACUGGCUCCGUUUGUUUGGUCACUGGCAUGUGGUAAGGGCAGAGUUGGAAAGGAGGUGGAAGC
rnacentral:lncRNA from 1 species